rnacentral:lncRNA from 1 species
AAUAUGCAGGAUUUACAGUUAUUGUUGUCAGAAACUUCCAGAAGAAUCAACAAAGUGAAGUGGAAAGAAGCACAUCAGGGAGGUCCGGCCUCGGGGUUUGGCCCCUGGUCUUCCAUCUGCUUGGAAUCUGCUUUGGACACGUAUCCGCCCGGCUUGUUGGAACCCCAGAGGAGUGGGAACCAGACUUCUCCCACCCCAGGAAGACAGUGCUGGUUCAAAAUCCUUCAUUGGCCAAAAGGACAGUUUUACGCACAAGAAAAUGCAGGAGAACAGAAACAGGAAUCAUUGGCACGAACCCAAAGAAACUCUCCCAUUCGGUGUUACUUCCGACUUCGUGGGGCGUCCUGUGAUGUGUGGAUGAAAUGCUCUGUGUUGAAGUUCUCUGUGUAUUGCUUGAUACAAAAUAGCAACUCAGUAAAGACUCAUGUCAACAAAAUUUGA